GUUUUAUAUAUUAUCACUUAGCCUACAGAUUCCCUCAAUUAAUGAAAUGUCUGUUGGUAACCUGGCUGUUUAUCUCUCUACCCAUCCUUUCUUACACCACCAUCAUUCACAUGACGCUUACUGUCCUAAGCAACAUGACUGCUGAACUACGGCUUCACACCACUCCCGCUGCCAGGAUUCCUAUAAAAAAACACCUAGCCCUGAGUGGUUUAGAGCAUGGCUGGUUAGAGACAGGGUGUUUAACGAGACCCUUAAUGAAAUGAAUAGAGCUGGCUCCUAACCCACCUGGCUACUGUGACCUUAUAAAAUGGUGAAAUUCUGACAGGCUCACAAAGGAGACUGUGACUAGGAACAGAGAGAAGACCUCUACCAGCAAGUCACAGAAAGAAGACUCAGGGGACAUCAAUCCUGCGACAUCUUCAUCUCAGACUUUAGUCUUCUUUUUCCUGUGAGAAGAUAAAUGUAUUAAGCUACCCAGUCUGAGAUUGUAAGCGUCAGUGGGGAUGGAAGACACCACGGAAACAAGACCUUCUAAACACAACAGGACCAAUGCGCAUAGGAACUCACAGAGACGGGGAGCAUACACGGGGCCUGCACUGGUUUAAGCCAGAUGGAGCCAGAACUGAAAGAAGAAGUGAGCACAAGCCCACCCUUAAGUCAGAAGCAAUCUCCAAUUGAUAGUCAUCCACAAAGGAAAAAUUAGUUUUCUCCAACCAAGUCUCACUGGGUAUACAAACCACGCUUAAGGACAGGCCCCAUGGCAACAGUGGAUGGCCAGAAUAAAACAAACUUAGUGGUA